UAGAUCUAGCCUUCCUGUAAAUUAUUUGUGUGAUUUCUGGAUAAUUUUCUUCAUUUAGCUUUAUCCUUUGGGCAGGCCUGUACUUGAUAAACUGUCCUGGGCAGUGUUAUCCCAGUGUGAGGUAGGAGAGCACAUCUCUUAAUGCAGAGGGUGGAAUGUCUCUGGUGCCUCUCAUUGAAUUGGAUGGCCAGACUCAGGAAUUAAAAGCAUUGACCUUAGUCAGGAAAUUUAGCGGGCUAAGUGGCCACACAUAGCCCACUAAAGACAUCUGUAGGUUGCCUGACUUGCUCUGGAGGACCUGACAAGCCUCUGGCAGCCUGGGCGUUGGAUGAACUCAGUGGUAUCUGGUGCAAACCAAACAUCUCUAGUGAACACAGGGAUCAUAGUGAUUUUGUGCUUUCUAGUGCUUCUGUGAAAUUCAUUAUCACCACACAAGUGGGAGAACUACUCAAAAACUCCAGUGUGAAGUGUCCAAAAUGAUGAAAUACCUCCAGGCUUUGGACUGUGGAACAUAACACAUAUCAGUUCAAACAAAUCUGAGAAUUAAUGUAAACUUUAUAAGGACAGGCAGCUGCAAUUUUGGCCAAAAUUCAAGGAAAAUUACAGGCAGGGAGAAAAAGUUGGUUUUGAUUAUUUGAAGUUUGUUUGUAUGGUCAUAAUUAGAAUUUGGACAGCCUCUCAUUCAGGGAAUCAGUGCUGCUGGAUGCCCACAGCAAGAACAGAAUAGAUCAACAGCAAAUUAUAAAAUGCAACAUGACGAAUGCAUAUUGUCUCAAUCUCUUCUUUUUUCCAAAUGAAAUUUUUAAAUUUUUCCCUUUAUUUUACCUAAAAAGUACCAAUUCUAAGAAAAAAACAAAACUUUUUAGAGCAUGGCAAUAACAUCAGGACAAAAUGUUUUCUUCUUCACAGAGCCAACUUUUCUUACGAGAACCUCUUAAGAAAUGCUAAACUUCAUCAACCUUCUGUAACCUCUCAUUCUUCCAUAGCUAGUGAUUUAUCUUGUGGUGACAAGUCAUAAAUGAUUUUCUAGAAUACUUGUUUCUACUAGUAGCAGGAGUAACAAUAUAUUUUCCCACAAAAAAGCUCUUCGAUACAGCGACUAGUAUUUAAAGUAAAAACUGAUUUUCAGAAUUUAUAUUGUAGUGGAAAUCAAUGAAACUAGACAAAUGAUAUUAUAAUUAUUUUCCAGCUGCAAACACAGUUUAAGUUAUUAUAUUUAGGUGGUCUUUUCCAGCUUCAAAGUUAGUUACAAACAUUUAGCUAAUUAGUGUAGAUGUGCAUGCAGGCAGGGAGAAGUUCAAGCGUUCCAACACUGAACAGAUUUUGGAGAUGAAAGGUCAUACUGAUUAAGAGAUGCUCAGGAUCAUUUUUCUCUGGCUAACUUCUUGGCUUUCUCUGCCCCUCCCUUCCCCACCUGCUACAUUCCUGCCCACUCCCUUGUUGGUUUUAUCUGCUUCCAGUCUCCUUCCUCAGACCACAUCUGUCCAAACGCCUUUGCCUGUUGCUUACUUUUUUCCUACACUUGGUGUUGUUUUACCUCACUUCUCUUGAUGUCUAAAGACAGAGAUGGGAUGCUCUCCCUUGCCAGUAAAAGCUGGGGUGAUCCACAGCAAUUCAACAUCCCUGAAGGGAUGGAGCCAGUCAGCCAACCCUGUCACUUGGGAUAUCUCUGUAAGUCAGGAGUUACCACUGCUGUGAGUCAGUGGGAGACUUACCCAUGGUUUUUAACUGGAUCAUGGCUGAGACCUUGGAGCACUGAAAAUGAAUGGGUGAAAACAGAAACCUUUCUGCCAUUGUUUUAAAGAGGUCUCUUGCAAGGAGUAAUACUCCAAUACAAGGGUACCACCUUCUUGUAUUGGAGUGAAUGAGCUUUCAGAAAGGACCAAAAGUUCAAAAGAGAAGAAAGAUAAAUGCAUUCUGUCUGAAUACUUGAAUUAGAGAAUUAGACAAUAGUAUAACAGAUAAAGUUUUAUUUAUCCUGGCUCUCUCACAAAAAGAAAUCUCAAACUCCAAAGAUACACUAGAGUAGAUGCUAAACAGAGGGAUAAAUUGAAUAGCAGACGGGUUUGCUUGCUCGCAUGUAAGAAAAAGCAAAAUACCUUUAUAAGCUAGUCCCUCAUGUGGGAAGUUCUUGAAAAUAAGGACUGAGUGUGAGUGGAGUAGUAAUUUGGGUGACAGUGGUGCCUGCGUCUCUGGGCCUGCUGGUGCCAAAUGCCUCUUAAAAAGUCUCCUCCCAGAGCACUGCACUGAGCUGGAGUGGCUGAAAAUCUCUUUGUAUGGUGUCAGUCCACAGUAGGUGCUUCACAUAGGUAUCACAAGUUUUUUAUUAUGACUGCAGAUUUCUCUUUAAGAGUUAAGCAGUACUGAGUGAGUCUGGCAACGUGUUUAUAUACCUUUACCAAAGCCUGGUUGUUUGCUGAGUAAAAUUGUGAGUGGAAAUAUUUAUGAAACAAUUGCCCAAGUAAAACACAGUUAAUAUUUCUGAACACAAAAGCUAGUAGCCCUUGUGAAAAAAAUGCUGCUAUCUUGAUGAUGAUUCUUGUUUUGGAUGUGUCAGGAGACUUAAUGCAAAGUCAGACUAUUAUAUCCCCAGUGAAGCUGAGAAAACAGUAUCACUCAGCAAACAAAGUCAGUCCAUCCUGGUUUAGAAAUUAAACCUGCAGAGAGGCUUAAUUUGUCUUGAAUUAGCAGAAAUGUCAUUGUAAUGGGUAUGCAAUGAUGGAAAUCGAGUCUGGCUGUGAAGUACUGCACCACUUUGAAUGCAGGUUAUCACAGUCUAAGGAUACAAAUGAGGCUUGGAUGCAAAAGUACUAAGACUUCAGAAUCAGAAUACAUUUUUCAAAGCAGAUCUGCAUUGCAGUUUCACCAAGGAGAAACUCAGAAAAAUGUUUCCUUUUUUAAUUGGAAAAAGUUUUUAUGACACUCUGAAUACCCCUCAGGCAACUGACAGACAUAUUUUAUAACACCUAUUUUAUCACAUUGAUAAAAAUUUAUUCUUGCAGAAGUUUUAUGGUUCAUAGAAAUGAUAAUUAAUCCCAAAUCCCAUCAGUUGUAUAGUAGUUUAAGUGUUGUGCUAUGUUAUUAAUAAAUAACAUGCCAUUUCUCCAGGGUGAAGCUUCUCAUGCAAGGAAUAUAUUUUCAAUAUAAGAUUAUAUUGUUUACUGGUUGAGUAUGUCUACCAAUUAAGUAAACUGUAUUAAUAGUUUUCCAUUAUUAUUAAUGAAAUACUUUUUCUAUUCAAUUAUCAAUGGUAAUAAUUUUCUCUGUGAGUCUGCCUUCUGGACCAGAUUUGUAAUUUCUCCAAAAUCAACAAAAAAAUGUAAUUACAAUAGGAUAGUUUAUGAUAAGAUAUUAAAUGACUUAGGUAUCUUUUAGAAUCAGACCUAUAUGUUGCAAUUAAAUUAUUUGGUAUUUUUGAUAACACCUGCUUAAUAUCUUCCAAGUCUUCUAAAAAAAAGCAUGAAUUUUCUUUGUUCAGCUUUGUGUAUACAAAAUUUGUGGUGUCCAGCAGUGAUGGCUUUUAGGGCUGCUUAGGAAAUACUUGUUCCUUUAUCAAGUCUCUCCAAAAAGGCUUGAAGUGUUCUUGUCCUAUCUAGUUUACAAUAUCUUGGGUGUACUGUGUGAUAAGCUGCCUACUGCCAUAGCCCACAGCCAUACUGCCAGGGCUGUUUAAAAGGGGCAAGAGGUGCCCAGGGACUCCUCGGUGUAGAUGUGUCAACUCUGGAUCAGCACUUGUGUUUGGCAUUGACCCAUCUGCACACUCGGCUGCCUUCAGAGCAGCAGCAUGGGCACCUCAAGUCAGCUUUAUCUGUGCACAGCAGCUGAGUUUGAGAAAUCUUCCCCUGGGUGUUUGUGGACCUCAUUCAAAACCAAAACCUUUGGGUUCAGAAGCUCUAGGCAGUUCUGUUGUCUGUGUUGCACUUAGCUCAGGAUAAGUGGGUGUUGAUUUAUCCAUCAGGGCAAACAGUGAUUCCCUUCAUAAGAAACCACCAACAUUGGAUUAAUACGGCAUAGCAGCAGAAGUUUGUUCCUUAAUUAGAAACGUAACUCUUACUUCCUUAGCAGGUCUUGCCCUACUAAGUUGGAAGUAACCUAUGUGCUGUUAUAAACUCUGGUAGGAGCCACUUUGACCACUGGCUGGGCUAAAGGGGGUGGUAGAAGUACAUCACUGUUCUCCACAUGCUCCCCACUGUGGAAAGUCUGCCCACUCCUUACUCAUGGAAGUCAAACGUUUCCUCACAAGGCCCCUACCUACACAAGCAUCUUCAAGCAGGAACAGACCUCUGUAUUACAGAGCUGUUUUACAGGAUAGCUUUAGGAAUAGUUUAACCAAUAAAAACCACCUGUGAAGUGUUAGAGACUCAUUGCUUAUACCGAAUCAGAGCAGGAAAUUGCUUUCUUCUUAGGAUAUGCCCCUCUCCACUAACAAUUAGGCAAAGCUAUGGUAGGUGUGCUUGCUCAGUGAGACAAGAAGUUACUGAAAUUACAGGAGAAAAGGAGAUUCCUCGUUCUCUUAGAAUCAACAGUAAUUAAACUACACUGUGAAAAGGCUGUGUUCUUGUCAUCCAGCUCUUGCUGAGUGUUCAUUAAGAAAAAAGAACAGAAAGAAAAGCAUGCAAAACAAACUUAGAUUUUUGCAGAAUACAUCAAUUCAUCAAAUGUAACUGAAGCCACCUGUUUCCACUUUGUCCCUAAGAAAAGGGAUAUCUGCAUUGUAUGAAACAUGGAGCAGUGAGUGUGCACAAAGUCCUGCAGGUGAUUCUCUGUAAAUGAGUCGGACAAAACAUUUUUACCAGGAAGUGGCAAAUCCCUCUCUUUUUCACUUUCAAUCCAAGCAUUUGUGUUCAUUAUCUUUUGUAUAACUUCAGCCUGCUAGAUAAUAAGCCUCACCUACAGCAACCUUGUGUCAGAUUAUCUGCACUGUAGAAUUUUGUUAGGUUUUAGAAUUCCUUCCAGGCUUUAUAUUAAUUGGCUUGUGUUUGGUUUGGAAUCUAAUGAUGAAAAUGGCCAUGCAUUAUCACUAAAGAGCUCAAGAUAAAUUUCUUUCUCACUCCAGCUGAGGAGGUAAUGACCAUGACAAAAACUUUGCUUUCUUGUGGUCUCCUGCUUAGGUACAAACUUACUACUGUUGUUAAAUGGUGCUUUACCUUGUGAGUGCCACAUCAAUGCAUGUUGAUCUCAGCUGUAUUGACUGGGUAAUUAGGUGCCUCUGGUCAGCAGAUUAUGCAUUCAUUCUCCAUGUUCUCCUCUCUUGCUGACUGAUGCUGAGAUGUUUUGAAACUUUACUCUCCUCACAUCCUUUAAAACACUGGAACAUUUUCAGGUAUUUAAUAGGUAGCUGUUCUUAGCAAGAUGAUUCAAAUACAAGUUUUCGUAAAUGCCAGGUUCUGAUGUGGCACAUCCUAGUCUUUGCCUUAUAUACAUUAGGUGUCUCUGCUAGGGUGCUCCUAAAACUGCAGCUGAUUCUUGCCCUAAUAUUUGAAAGCACUAUGUCUCCAAAUAUCAAGACCUCAUAACUCAGACUGUUUAUACUUUGUUAUUUUAAUUAACUUAAUGGAAUGGAAUAAGUAAAAGAAAAACAUAAAACCUCUUUUCAUUGCAAUUGGGCAGAUCAUUAACUGGCAAAACUUCAGCAAAGUUGCAUUAGUUUACAGGAUGAGGCCUUUAGAUGCUGGAGAAAUUACCUCUGAGAAGACUUUAUGCUACUUACAUUAUGUAUGUAAUUGUUGGCUGUACAAUAGCUGCUAAUUAAUAAUUCAAAAAUCAUUAUUAGCAAUUUAGAAAUCAUUAACAAUAUUACACAUUUGCACUUGCUGAUCUUUCCUUUUGACAUCCUUUGAUUGACAUCACUGAAGCAUGUAUUGUCACUCUGAAGCAUGCAUAGUUACAUAAGCAUUAAUGUUACAAAAUCUGCUUUUCAUAUCUGCUUAAAAACCACAGCUAUCCCUCUUGCUUCAUAACUGUGGCACUGGAGCCUGUUGUACUGGAUGGUAGAAUGAGUUUGUGAUUUGAUUCCCCAGAGAUUCCCUUCAGUCCUCCUGUAACAUUCAGGUGACUCCACAGUGAACAAGGCCAGCACAGCUAUGCAGGGUGUGUUUGUUUGGUGUCUCUGUGCAGUUCUGGUCAGGUUUCCCUGGGGGGACAAAGCAGUUCAGCAACAAUACUGAAAUGACAUAUGCUUGAACUAGGAGCACAUGGCACCAGUAAAACUUCAUCCUUAGUGGUUUGGCAGUGGAUCAUUUGGGAAUUAGGGAUGAAAGCAACAGAUGUUAUGCAUUCAAGCACCUGGAUAAAGAAAUGAAACUACAUAUAUUAAGCAAAAUGGUGAAACUUGCAUUUGUCUGUGAUGUCCCAUUCUACUCAGAUAAGGUACUGUUUGUUUUUAAAUGGAAAUAUGGCUUGGCAUAACAUGACAAAACAUAAAGGCCCUUGUAGCCAUGUUAUAUCUGGGUCAGAUGUAUUUGAUGUUCUUACUUUGAUCUCCUGUCUAAUCAGUGUGUUUUCAGCUUAGAUCUGGAAUCCAUGUCUCUUGUAAACAUGAACAAUUCCCAGACCUUUUGAUCUGCAAAAUGACUCAUUCUUCCACAACUCUACUCCAGGACAGCAGAGAGAAGUGAUUCCUUUUCAUAGGGGUUUCUUUGGCAGGCUCCCCUGAGACAUAUAAAACUCUCUCCUAAUAAAACUAAAGAGGCUAAACAAGGUCUUCACUGGAUCUCUAGGAGCUUUUUCUUUGACAUUCUUCCCCUGGCUUUCCUCAGAACUUAAAAACUUGGAUAAAGUUUGCUAUGGUGGCUGGAUUAAUUUACUGCAUUACCUGGAAUUUGUUGGAUAAGGAAACUGGCUCUGUAAAGUAAGAAAGGAAAUAAUGGAUAGUAUAGAGGCUGAUGACUUCUGAAGGGAAGAAACAAACGGUAAGAAAGUGCAGGACCAUGAAAGUGCAACAUAUGGCUGGACAGAGGGAGAACAGAGACAGCAGAACCAAAGCAGCAGGAGGAACUCUGCGGUGGGCGAGGCAAGGGCAUGAGGGGAAGGGACUGAGGUGCCCUGGGCCAGGGUGUUGCAACUGGCUGAGGAGUUUGGAGAAGAAACUAGAAAUCUGUUCUCCUGGGAUCAAGACCUGUGGGUGGAGAGGAGUGAUGGGAGGUGAGAGUGGAGCCAGGCUUCCUCAAGGGCCAAGGCAGGAGAAACUUAACCCCUUACUGCCCCGCCUUCUAGGAGGGAGAACAGGACCAGCCCAGGGGGAAAUUAGGAACAAACUUCAGAGGCAGGGGUGUGGAAAAGACAAGUCUGAGGCCAGCCCAGAUGGACUGGGAGCCCUAGCAAAAAUGGAUGAGAAGUGGUGACCACUAAAAACAUUCUUCACCAUAUGACUACUCUUCUGACCUUCACCAUGCAUCCUCACCACUUUUUGUGGUACGAACUGGUCCUGUUUCUUUCAGAGCUCAUGAAAAUCUCUCCCUCUCUUCUAUAAAUUUAAAGGAAUAGGUUUUAUAUUAAGCCCCCCCACAUUAAUCUUAGUAAAAGUGUGAAGUUUAAUUUCAAUUGCAAGAGAUAUUUUUUUUCCUUUGGAAGCUUACAGCCAUUUUGGAAAAACAUUUUUUCUCACCUAAUCUCUAUCUCAUUCAAACUGCAAAUACUAAAUAAGAUAUGAAUCUUACUAAAAAUAGGAUGACACCGUGUAAGGAAAGACAAUGCCAAUGCACUUACAGGAGUCUGAAUUACAAUAAUCCUUUCUACUUUGCCCACAAUUUCUAUUUCUGUGUGCUGCUUCUAUGGUGCUUCUUUUGUGUGAUAUAUUCAGAAUAUGGGUAGGAGCUGUGAGCUAUUUUUGGUAUGUGAUACUACACAGGAAAGCAAUGGAUCACGUUUAUGAACAGAGGAGGAUUCUGCAGAAGAUAUCUCAUUAGGUACUAUUAAAAGUAUGUAACUCACAAAUAAUGUGAAAUGAAGCAGCCUUCCAAGACAGAAAGACACAAAACCUGUUUAUGUUGUAAGCAAACAGAAAUAGAAAGCAAUGCUGCAUUUUUCUAAUUGAGGGGUGUAGUCCACCUUCUAAAUUGCUUAUUUUGACACAAAGUCACCACAAAGGCACAAAUCUAAUGUUUUACUUUUGUUUCCCAGUUAAAUUUCUUUCUGUUUCUUUUCUUCAACUAGAGGAAAAACCAGGGUUUAUGCGUCAUUUCUUUUAUGUGCUUUUACCUGAAAAGCACUUACUGAGCAGUGCCAGAAAGGUAUGAUGUGUGAUCCUUGAGUGUUUCAGUAUCUGGGACCUGUUGCAUCCAGUGGGUGGUAGAAAUCUAGGCUGAUGAGUUUCCCUGGCAUGGCUUUCACAUCAUGCACAAAUCCAUGCUUAAAAUAUGCUCUGUGGGCCACAGCAAGGCACCCCUGCUGCCAUUUCCCUUGCUGAAGGUGCCACUUGCUCAUCAGGUCAUUUUUAGCUUUGGCUGGAAAACUGCUGGGCUUACUGAAAGGCUCGGGGAGUUCCCUGGGUGGUUUCCAUCGGAGAAGCCUACAUCCUGUUAUUGGGGAGCUUUUCGACUUCCCUUUGCAAAGUGAAAGAGGCUGGGAAUGCAAUGUUUGUCUGUUCUGAUCUCUUUCUGGCUCACGUCUAUCUAUGAACAGCAAAUGCCUAAAUAAAAAGGAAAAGCUAUCUAGUAGGGUGCUGAUUUAAAAACCAACACAGAUGGGACAGCACUAAGAAGUCUGUAUGUAGACUGUGAAGUCAAAAUAAAGCAGACCAGAUCAAUUUAUCCUUUUGCUGCUGUUUUGAACUUCUGGCUUGCUGUGAUGAAGAAAAAAGAAUUCCUUUGCUCUCCCAUGGUACUGAAGAUCUGAGCGAUGUCUCUCAUCCUGGGAUCCUGCCUCACUGCUGCCUCUGACAAUGUGCACCAAAUGUGUUCCGGGGAAGCCAUGGAUUCACCUCAGCACUUUCCUUGGAAUCCUGAACAUGGAGUAUUUCAUUUCAACCAGAAAAUUCCUAUGGUUUGUUGUCUUUGUGAACAUUUCCUUUUAAAGCAGGAAGUGUACAGAUAGCCAAAGUAUACAAUUUGCAGAAGACAUAUUACUGUCAUCUUUCAGGUGUUCUAAGUUCAGAGGUGUUCUGUUCAAUCAUGAGAAAUAAGAAGUGACUGUAAAGCUAAGAGAAAAGAGCCUCACACUGAAAAAUGAUCAGCAUGCUUCUAAAAAGAGUUCUGUACCUGGUUAAUGUGGAGGUGGACUGUCUUGUAAUCUCCACAAGAUGGCUAAUACCUGCUCAGAAGGCAAUGAAAUAUGUAAGUUGUUUCCCCUGGAGUCACUGUGUCUCUUUCCACUGACUCACUGCUGCAAAGAAAUGUACCUAUUCCAUUCCCUCAGCUGGCUUUAAAAAAUAUUUUGAACAGUGUGUCAAUGGUUAGAUUAAAAUGGUGCAAGUAAGUGAUUUGCACUCAGUUAAACCCUUCUAUUAGUCUAUUUAAGAGGAAAAUAUGAAAAGUUUUUUCUGGUUCUGUUUUGGAUAAUUAGAAAAAGAAAAAGAAAGCUGGAAGAAAAAAACCCAACCCAAACCACCAAAAGAUGCUAAUGCUGCUACCACAUUUCAAGACUAUGUCAUCUUAAAAAUGUGUCACAAAAAGAACACAGGCUAUUUCUUUGAUUUCUGUGCUGUUUCCCAAUAUAAAUUUAUGAUAUACGGUCAUAGUAAACCCUCCCCCCUCAAGACUUUUUCUCCCACAAAAGUUUGCAUAGCAAUUUUUAACAGCUCUUUAUUGUGUAAUUGCAGUCAAAUUUUAUUUUUAAUUGACAUUGAGACAUGGUAUUAAUGGGAAAAAUCCCAAAACCUAUUUGAUAAUUAAAUCAUAAUGAAUCCCAUAAGGAAUAACAAUUUAUAAUGAAAAAAAUGUUAACUAGUCUAAUAAAGACAGUGGUCAG